CUACGGGGUGCUGCAGUCGAGAAUCUUCCGCAAUGGACGAAAGUCUGACGGAGCGACGCCGCGUGCGGGAUGAAGGCCUUCGGGUUGUAAACCGCUGUCAGUGGGGAGGAAAUGCAUCAGGGUUCUCCCUGGUGUUUGACCGAUCCGCAGAGGAAGCGCAGGCUAAGUUCGUGCCAGCAGCCGCGGUAACACGAACUGCGCGAACGUUAUUCGGAAUCACUGGGCUUAAAGAGUUCGUAGGCGACCUUUCAAGUCGGGUGUGAAAUCCCUCGGCUCAACCGAGGAAUUGCGCCUGAUACUGUUGGGCUUGAGGGGGAUAGGGGUGAGCGGAACUGAUGGUGGAGCGGUGAGAUGCGUUGAUAUCAUCAGGAACACCGGUGGCGAAGGCGGCUCACUGGAUCUCUUCUGACGCUGAGGAACGAAAGCUAGGGGAGCGAACGGGAUUAGAUACCCCCGUAGUC
rnacentral:rRNA from 1 species